GAAAGUUUGCAACCCUUGAUUUAUAAGGACGGAAUUCACCUUUGGGUGAUAACAUUCAAAUGGUUAAGGCAUUGCCACUUACUUUGUUGCAUCUAACCUCGUUUUUAU
rfam:Strongylocentrotus purpuratus Contig21531_fixed, whole genome shotgun sequence.